rnacentral:rRNA from 1 species
GACGUAGGGCGCGAGCGUUGUCCGGAUUUAUUGGCGUAAAGAGCUCGUAGGCGGCCUGUUGCGUCCGCUGUGAAAUCCCGGGGCUCAACCCCGGGCCUGCAGUGGAUACGGGCUGGCUAGAGGCAGGCAGGGGAGAACGGAAUUCCUGGUGUAGCGGUGAAAUGCGCAGAUAUCAGGAGGAACACCGGUGGCGAAGGCGGUUCUCUGGGCCUGUACUGACGCUGGGGAGCGAAAGCGUGGGGAGCGAACAGG